rnacentral:rRNA from 1 species
CACGUAGGGGGCGAGCGUUGUCCGGAUUUAUUGGGCGUAAAGGGCUCGUAGGCGGUCUGUCGCGUCGGGAGUGAAAAACUCAGGGCUUAACCCUGAGCCUGCUUCCGAUACGGGCAGACUAGAGGUAUGCAGGGGAGAAUGGAAUUCCUGGUGUAGCGGUGAAAUGCGUAGAUAUUGGGAGGAACACCAGUGGCGAAGGCGGCUCACUGGACCGGAACUGACGCUGAGGCGCGAAAGCGUGGGGAGCAAACAGG